rnacentral:tRNA from 1 species
GCGGCUGUGGCGGAAUGGCAGACGCGCUACUUUGAGGGGGUAGUGAUCCUUGAUCGUGUGAGUUCAAGUCUCACCAGCCGCA